AUUGAACGCUGGCGGCAGGCCUAACACAUGCAAGUCGAGCGAGCGGCGGACGGGUGAGUAAUGUCUGGGAAACUGCCUGAUGGAGGGGGAUAACUACUGGAAACGGUAGCCAAUACCGCAUACCAUCAGAUGUGCCCAGGUGGGAUUAGCGAGUAGGUGGGGUAACGGCUCACCUAGGCGACGAUCCCCAGCUGGUCUGAGAGGAUGACCAGCCACAAUGGAACUGGGACACGGUCCAGACUCCUACGGGAGGCAGCAGUGGGGAAGAUUGCACAAUGGGCGCAAGACUGAUGCAGCCAUGCCGCGUGUGUGAAGAAGGCCUUCGGGUUGUAAAGCACUUUCAGCGGGGAGGCGUUACCCGCAGAAGAAGCACCGGCUAACUCCGUGCCAGCCGCCGCGGUAAUAC
rnacentral:rRNA from 1 species